UGGAUUCGCUAGUAAUCGCGCAUCAGCCACGGCGCGGUGAAUACGUUCCCGGGCCUUGUACACACCGCCCGUCAAGCCAUGGGAGCCGGGGGUACCUGAAGUGCGUAACCGCGAGGAGCGCCCUAGGGUAAAACUGGUGACUGGGGCUAAGUCGUAACAAGGUAAC
rnacentral:rRNA from 1 species